GCCAAUGAUGACCCAACUCUUUUGAGGUGUUGUGGAGCCAAUUCCUUGCCUUGCAAGGAGAACCUAGUUGGUGAAGCUACAUUUGAAAUGAUAAUUCAAGGGAUUUAACUGAGGC